GCAUAUCAAUACGCGGAGGAAACGAAUCUAACNACGGCUUNCUCUAGUACCUGCGAGNGAAGCGGGAAGAGCUCAAAUUUCGAANUCUGGCGGUCCUUGNCUGUCCGAGUUGUAAUCUAGAGAAGGACUACNUGUGCUAGGCCGUGUACAAGUCUCCUGGACUGGAGCAUCGCAGAGGAUGAGAAUCCCGUCUUUGACACGGCCUUCCUGUACGUUAUGUUGCACUCUUGACGAGUCGAGCUGGUUGCGAAUGCAGCUCAAAAUGGGUGGUAAAUUCCAUCUAAAGCUAAAUAUUGGCGAGAGCCCGAUAGUGAUCAAGUACCGUGAGGGAAAGAUGAAAAGAACUUUGGAAAGAGAGUUAAACAGUACGUGAAAUUGCUGAAAGGGAAACGCUUGAAGUCAGUCGCGUCGGCUAGGAAUCAGCCUUGCUUUUGCUCGGUGUACUUUCUUGCUGAUGGGUCAGCAUCAAUUUCGACCGCUGGAUAAAGUCGUUGGGAAUGUGGCAUCCUCGGAUGUGUUAUANCCCAGCGUCGGAUACGGUGUUGGGAUUGAGGAACUCAGCACGCCGCGAGGCCGGGUCUCUCGAGCUCGUCCGUGCUUAGGAUGCUGGCAUAAUCACUUUAAUCGACC
rnacentral:rRNA from 1 species